GCGUACGGCCAUACCACCCUGAACACGCCCGAUCUCGUCUGAUCUCGAAAGCCAAGCAAGUCGGGCCUGGUUAAUACUUGGAUGGGAGACAGCCUGGGAAUACCAGGUGCUGUAAGCU
rnacentral:rRNA from 1 species